CCUACGGGAGGCAGCAGUGGGGAAUAUUGGACAAUGGGGGCAACCCUGAUCCAGCCAUGCCGCGUGUGUGAAGAAGGCCCUCGGGUUGUAAAGCACUUUCAGUGAGGAAGAACGCCUGGUGGUUAAUACCCAUCAGGAAAGACAUCACUCACAGAAGAAGCACCGGCUAACUCCGUGCCAGCAGCCGCGGUAAUACGGAGGGUGCGGGCGUUAAUCGGAAUUACUGGGCGUAAAGCGCGCGUAGGUGGCUUGAUAAGCCGGUUGUGAAAGCCCCGGGCUCAACCUGGGAACGGCAUCCGGAACUGUCAAGCUAGAGUGCAGGAGAGGAAGGUAGAAUUCCCGGUGUAGCGGUGAAAUGCGUAGAGAUCGGGAGGAAUACCAGUGGCGAAGGCGGCCUUCUGGACUGACACUGACACUGAGGUGCGAAAGCGUGGGUAGCAAACAGGAUUAGAUACCCUAGUAGUC
rnacentral:rRNA from 1 species